GAGCGCCGUAGCAAUACGGAGCGGCAGACGGGAGAGUAACACGUGGGAACGUGCCCUUCAGUUCGGAACAACCCAGGGAAACUUGGGCUAAUACCGGAUACGUCCGUAAGGAGAAAGAUUUAUCGCUGAAGGAUCGGCCCGCGUCUGAUUAGCUUGUUGGUGAGGUAACGGCUCACCAAGGCGACGAUCAGUAGCUGGUCUGAGAGGAUGAUCAGCCUCACUGGGACUGAGACACGGCCCAGACUCCUACGGGAGGCAGCAGUGGGGAAUAUUGGACAAUGGGCGCAAGCCUGAUCCAGCCAUGCCGCGUGGAUGAUGAAGGCCCUAGGGUUGUAAAGUCCUUUCGGCGGGGAAGAUAAUGACGGUACCCGCAGAAGAAGCCCCGGCUAACUUCGUG
rnacentral:rRNA from 1 species